rnacentral:rRNA from 1 species
CCUACGGGGGGCAGCAGUGAGGAAUAUUGGUCAAUGGCCGUAAGCCUGAACCAGCCAAGUCGCGUGAGGGAUGAAGGUUCUAUGGAUCGUAAACCUCUUUUAUAAGGGAAUAAAGGGUGCGACGUGUCCUAUUUUGCAUGUACCUUAUGAAUAAGCAUCGGCUAACUCCGUGCCAGCAGCCGCGGUAAUACGGAGGAUCCGAGCGUUAUCCGGAUUUAUUGGGUUUAAAGGGUGCGUAGGCGGCCUUUUAAGUCAGCGGUGAAAGUUUGUGGCUCAACCAUAGAAUUGCCGUUGAAACUGGGGGGCUUGAGUAUGUUUGAGGCAGGCGGAAUGCGUGGUGUAGCGGUGAAAUGCAUAGAUAUCACGCAGAACUCCGAUUGCGAAGGCAGCCUGCCAAGCCAUGACUGACGCUGAUGCACGAAAGCGUGGGGAUCAAACAGGAUUAGAUACCCUGGUAGUC